AGAGUUUGAUCCUGGCUCAGGACGAACGCUGGCGGCACGCUUAACACAUGCAAGUCGAACGAGAGAAGAGGAGCUUGCUUUUCUGAUCUAGUGGCGGACGGGUGAGUAACACGUGAGCAAUCUGCCUUUCAGAGGGGGAUACCGAUUGGAAACGAUCGUUAAUACCGCAUAACAUAAUUGAACCGCAUGAUUUGAUUAUCAAAGAUUUAUCGCUGAAAGAUGAGCUCGCGUCUGAUUAGCUAGUUGGUAAGGUAACGGCUUACCAAGGCGACGAUCAGUAGCCGGACUGAGAGGUUGAUCGGCCACAUUGGGACUGAGACACGGCCCAGACUCCUACGGGAGGCAGCAGUGGGGAAUAUUGCACAAUGGAGGAAACUCUGAUGCAGCGAUGCCGCGUGAGGGAAGAAGGUUUUAGGAUUGUAAACCUCUGUCUUCAGGGACGAAAAAAGACGGUACCUGAGGAGGAAGCUCCGGCUAACUACGUGCCAGCAGCCGCGGUAAUACGUAGGGAGCGAGCGUUGUCCGGAAUUACUGGGUGUAAAGGGAGCGUAGGCGGGAUCGCAAGUCAGAUGUGAAAACUAUGGGCUUAACCCAUAAACUGCAUUUGAAACUGUGGUUCUUGAGUGAAGUAGAGGUAAGCGGAAUUCCUAGUGUAGCGGUGAAAUGCGUAGAUAUUAGGAGGAACAUCAGUGGCGAAGGCGGCUUACUGGGCUUUAACUGACGCUGAGGCUCGAAAGCGUGGGGAGCAAACAGGAUUAGAUACCCUGGUAGUCCACGCCGUAAACGAUGAUUACUAGGUGUGGGGGGACUGACCCCUUCCGUGCCGCAGCAAACGCAAUAAGUAAUCCACCUGGGGAGUACGACCGCAAGGUUGAAACUCAAAGGAAUUGACGGGGGCCCGCACAAGCAGUGGAGUAUGUGGAUUAAUUCGAAGCAACGCGAAGAACCUUACCAGGUCUUGACAUCGUAUGCAUAGCUCAGAGAUGAGUGAAAUCUCUUCGGAGACAUAUAGACAGGUGGUGCAUGGUUGUCGUCAGCUCGUGUCGUGAGAUGUUGGGUUAAGUCCCGCAACGAGCGCAACCCUUACUGUUAGUUGCUACGCAAGAGCACUCUAGCAGGACUGCCGUUGACAAAACGGAGGAAGGUGGGGAUGACGUCAAAUCAUCAUGCCCCUUAUGACCUGGGCCUCACACGUACUACAAUGGCUGUCAACAGAGGGAAGCAAAGCCGCGAGGUGGAGCGAACCCCUAAAAGCAGUCUUAGUUCGGAUUGUAGGCUGCAACCCGCCUACAUGAAGUCGGAAUUGCUAGUAAUCGCAGAUCAGCAUGCUGCGGUGAAUACGUUCCCGGGCCUUGUACACACCGCCCGUCACGCCAUGGGAGUCGGUAACACCCGAAGCCUGUAGUCUAACCGCAAGGAGACGCAGUCGAAGGUGGGAUUGAUGACUGGGGUGAAGUCGUAACAAGGUA
rnacentral:rRNA from 1 species